CCUCCACUUGACUGUCCAAUUUCAUUCAAAUAACACCUGCCUGUUGGGCACCUGACUUCCAAAAUUAAAAAAUGAAAAAAAAAAACUGCUUGUCUGCGACCAAGUAUGAAUCCCUUUGUGACCCAUUUUAUUUUCUAUCCCCAUCGCCGACCAGUCUGUUUCAUCUUCUGGCUUAUGCCUCUCCAAACUAGGGUUCCGACCCGCUUCUCUGAGGUCUCCCUCCCUUCCAUCUUCCAGUCAAACAAAACCGCAGGACCUCACAAUAAGCAGCAGAGUAGGAAUCCACAUCUGGAAUUGGGGAGGGGGAGGUAAUCCUCUGUAGCUCUACUGGCCAGGGAGAGUGUCAUGUCCAGCUCUCUGAGGGUGGAAGUGGGUUAACCAUGAACUCUCGGCUCCUGCUGGGAAACCAAAGACUCUAGGGGUCAUCACUUGAGAAACACUCUGUUCUGCUGCCCAGCCCUGCCUUGCCCUGCCCUGCCCUGCCUUGCCCUGCCCUGCCCUGCCCAGCCCUGUCCUGCCCAGCCCUUCUCAGCUCAGCCUGGCCCAGCUCAGUUUAUCCCACGUCGGGCCUCUCCGCUCUCUCCUGCAGCGCAGUCUCUUCCCGGGCUCUCCUUCUCGCUCGGUGCCUUCCCCACCCUCCUGCUCCACCUCCACCUCCUGGGUCUUUUUCACUUCUCCCUCCUCUUCUUCCUCCUCCACCCCCGCAAGGUCCAGCUCGCCUUAGCCGACCAGGGGAGCCCGCACAUCGCUUGCUGUCAGCCAUCAAGUGGCUCGUUAAGGAAAUGCAGGUGAGUGCGUGUGGCGGAGCCGCUGCCGCGGUUGUUGGGGGAUGUGGGGUGUGUGCGCGUGUGCGCGUAUGUGCCUGUCUGUGGGUUCGUGGAAGAGAGAGAGCGAGCGCGAGCAAGCGAAGACAGCGGCGACUAAGAGAGCGGAACGAGCGCAGCUCCGGCUCUCCCUGAUCCGCGCCCCUUGCUCUCGCUUUGGUAGCAGCCAGCGGCAGGAGCGCGCGUGGCAGGCAGCGCCUCCUUUCCUCGCUCCUUGCCUCCCUCCCAUCACUUGGACCGCGGCGCUGACUCUGCCAGAGUGUCUCGGCUGCUUCCAGCCAGGAGGCUCUCACUUACCUCCCCCUCCCUUCCUCCCUUCUUCUCCAGCCGAUCCCAACUGCUCCUCCAGCUCCUCCUCCUCCUCCUUCCACCUCCCCUUCUGGAGAGGACUAUCAUCCUCAGCUGGGAGAGUGCAGUUGCUCGGGGGCCUGUGUGGAAUAAAACACAAUUCUUUAUCUGACUGUUAGGAGAGGGAAGAGAAGACUCCUCAGGGUUUCCAAAGAGAGGUCCGGGCUGGCUACCUUAGUAAGUAAACCAUGUUGGUCUAUUAUUUUUUUCCUUUAAAGGUGUAUUUUCGUUGGCAUGUUUUGUUUUGUUUUUCUUCUUUGUAGUUUAUUCAAGGUAAGCCCCUACCCGAGAAACUUAUGUAACUUAAAAAAGAGUAUGUGAGGGAGCUUGCUUUUCUAAGGAAGAUUACUUGCAUUUGGGGAGAUCAGCAUGGGUAGGAGUUGGGUUUUGUGUAGAUUUCUGUGCCUCCUCUUUUAAAAUAGAUGUUUUUGGGGAGAAGAUGGCAUUGAAAUGUCAAUUUGUUCUAUAAUGAAUGGACAGCUCCCGCUAGAGAAUGUUUGAAUUUGAAAUCUCCCUCCUCCCCACCACACCCCCACUCCUACUUCCACCUUCAGCACCGGUCCUGCACCCACCCCCAAGCCAACCCAAGCCAACCCAACCCAACCCAGUGACUGCCGCUGGCUCUUUUUUAUCUUUAAUUCUGGAAAUAUCUAACAGGACGUUUUCAUUAAAGAGAAGUUGCUUUUAUCUGUUUGAAAGCCGAUUUUAAGUUGGUAGUGCUUACAAGUAAAACAACAACAAUAAUAAUGACUGUCUUUUAAAAAAUAAAAUCCCCAGUUGGAGAAUUUGAAUAAACUUU
ensembl:lncRNA